GACGAACGCUGGCGGCGUGCUUAACACAUGCAAGUCGAACGGUAAGGCCCUUCGGGGUACACGAGUGGCGAACGGGUGAGUAACACGUGGGUGAUCUGCCCUGCACUUCGGGAUAAGCCUGGGAAACUGGGUCUAAUACCGGAUAGGACCCUGGGAUGCAUGUCCUGGGGUGGAAAGCUUUUGCGGUGUGGGAUGGGCCCGCGGCCUAUCAGCUUGUUGGUGGGGUGAUGGCCUACCAAGGCGACGACGGGUAGCCGGCCUGGGAGGGUGACGGGCCGCACUGGGACUGAGAUACGGCCCAGGCUCCUACGGGAGGCAGCAGUGGGGAAUAUUGCACAAUGGGCGCAAGCCUGAUGCAGCGACGCCGCGUGAGGGAUGACGGCCUUCGGGUUGUAAACCUCUUUCAGCACCGACGAAGCGCAAGUGACGGUAGGUGCAGAAGAAGGACCGGCCAACUACGUGCCAGCCGCCGCAGUAA
rnacentral:rRNA from 1 species